UGUCCGUGAUGAAUUUAAAAUUAAGAGUAGUGGACAGAAGUCAUUUCUGAUUAAAUGUAUUCUGAGACU